rnacentral:rRNA from 1 species
AUUGAACGCUGGCGGCAGGCUUAACACAUGCAAGUCGAGCGGAGAUGAGGUGCUUGCACCUUAUCUUAGCGGCGGACGGGUGAGUAAUGCUUAGGAAUCUGCCUAUUAGUGGGGGACCACAUUCCGAAAGGAAUGCUAAUACCGCAUACGUCCUACGGGAGAAAGCAGGGGAUCUUCGGACCUUGCGCUCAUAGAUGAGCCUAAGUCUGAUUAGCUAGUUGGUGGGGUAAAGGCCUACCAAGGCGACGAUCUGUAGCGGGUCUGAGAGGAUGAUCCGCCACACUGGGACUGAGACACGGCCCAGACUCCUACGGGAGGCAGCAGUGGGGAAUAUUGGACAAUGGGGGGAACCCUGAUCCAGCCAUGCCGCGUGUGUGAAGAAGGCCUUAUGGUUGUAAAGCACUUUAAGCGAGGAGGAGGCUACUGAGACUAAUACUCUUGGAUAGUGGACGUUACUCGCAGAAUAAGCACCGGCUAACUCCGUGCCAGCCGCCGCCGUAA